UACGUAGGGGGCGAGCGUUGUCCGGAAUCAUUGGGCGUAAAGCGCGUGUAGGCGGUCCGGUAAGUCCGCUGUGAAAGUCGAGGGCUCAACCCUCGAAUGCCGGUGGAUACUGUCGGGCUAGAGUACGGAAGAGGCGAGUGGAAUUCCUGGUGUAGCGGUGGAAUGCGCAGAUAUCAGGAGGAACACCAAUUGCGAAGGCAGCUCGCUGGGACGUUACUGACGCUGAGACGCGAAAGCGUGGGGAGCAAACAGG
rnacentral:rRNA from 1 species